UACGUAGGUCCCGAGCGUUGUCCGGAUUUAUUGGGCGUAAAGCGAGCGCAGGUGGUUUAUUAAGUCUGGUGUAAAAGGCAGUGACUCAACCAUUGUAUGCAUUGGAAACUGGUAGACUUGAGUGCAGGAGAGGAGAGUGGAAUUCCAUGUGUAGCGGUGAAAUGCGUAGAUAUAUGGAGGAACACCGGUGGCGAAAGCGGCUCUCUGGCCUGUAACUGACACUGAGGCUCGAAAGCGUGGGGAGCAAAUAGG
rnacentral:rRNA from 1 species